UGACCUCAAAUCGGGUGAGACUACCCGCUGAACUU
rnacentral:rRNA from 7 species